ensembl:processed_transcript 1700108F19Rik RIKEN cDNA 1700108F19 gene
CCAAGUCGUGAUCACAAAUGAGAAGAAGACUCGAGGGGAUUGAUGAGCUGAGGCCAGGCUGGACCACUAGAAUGCAGCAAGAGCAGCUGAGCCCAGUGCUCUGGUCUCUAUUAUGUACUGCCUCACAUUUCUUUCUGUUGAUUGUUGUCUGUGUGGAAAGUCAGAGUUGGGAGCAGGGGCUAUGAAGUCAGUGAGCCCCAAGUCACAUUUCCCCCUUUGUAAGAGAGUUGUGCACCCAGGGCACAGUCAAGACAGAAACUGAGGGUAGAAACAGAAGGGGUGUGGCAGCUAAGAUCGUCUUGUUCUCUCAGGAAAGCCUUUGGGAGACUUCUGAUCCCAUUUCAUAGGCAGAAUAAGGGUUCACCUGUCAUCACCUAGCCUCAAGAAAGGAACCAUUAAGCUGUAGCCUCUGUAGUUGGAAGUAGGAGUGAGAAGGGGGAGGGACCUGGCUCUCUGGGUCAAUUAGCAUAGUCUGCCUCAGGUAGAUCCUGAAUCCCAGGAAGCUGUAGAUGUGGUGCAGGCCAUGGCUAGCCUCAUGCCUCUGGUCACCCUAUCCAGACAAGUUGAGUGGCAGUAGUGGAGAUGGUCUGACGUCUCAGCCUGGUGGGAUUCACUGCCGACUCCCCAGGCCCACCACUGGAGUAAUGGCUGUCUUUCUUUGAGAGCACAUAGGUGGAGCGUAAGGGAGAGGGAGAUGGAUGAGGUCAUACUAUUGCAAUCACUUGGGAAAAAAUACACAAACUUCCAAAACUGCAAGAUGCUUUCUACUGCCACCAGACCUCCUUUGGAGGUUUUCCUACCGCUUAAUAACCAGGAACUUGUUGGCGUCUGACAGAGCAUCUCAGAUUUCUUACAUAAAAUGUGGAAUUGUCAAUAGUCAGAUGCAUCAGUGGCCAAGGCUAUGGUGUGCAGUUUCUAUCAGCGUGUACAGGACAUCCUGCCUGGUUUUGGCCUCAAGGAAGCAAUGGUGAGAUUUCGUAGCUCAUCGUCUCCUGGUUGGAGCAAAGGGUGCCAAACAGAGGUCAAGCUCGGGCCACAGGGAAACUGGGAAAAUACGUUCAUUGCCAUGUGCGAGGAGUCCAGUGGAUUUCAGAAAUCUUCUGUGUCUUCUUAUAGGCUACAGUAACAGCCCCUUACUGGAAGAACAUUUUAGAGCUGCCAUUGAUGGACACAGAGAGUGUUAAAACCCAGAGCACAUAAACCAGGAUGAGAAAAUUAAUCAGAAGAUAAAAGACAGCGGCUUUGGGGACCCUGGCCGAGCCCUCCUGCAUGCUCCUGGGACAUCCUUUCAGACCAGCAGCACCAUCCCGUGCAGGGGCUGUGACAGAUGACUUAUAAUGUAGACAUCACCUCUGCUGGUGGACAGCCUUCGGAUCUGCUGAGUCCUUUUAUAAUAAAUAAAACCAAACACG